GACGAACGCUGGCGGCGCGCUUAACACAUGCAAGUCGAACGGAAAGGCCUGCUUUCCCUUGUGGAUUGCGGGUACUCGAGUGGCGAACGGGUGAGUAACACGUGAGUGAUCUGCCCCCAACUUGGGUAUAAGCCUGGGAAACUGGGUCUAAUUCCCGAUAGGACUGCAGGGUGGUGCCUGUGGUGGAAAACGAUUUUCUAGUGGUUGGGGAUGAGCUCGCGGCCUAUCAGCUUGUUGGUGGGGUAAUGGCCUACCAAGGCGGCGACGGGUAGCCGGCCUGAGAGGGUGGACGGUGACAUUGGGACUGAGAUACGGCCCAGACUCCUACGGGAGGCAGCAGUGGGGAAUAAUGGACAAUGGGCGGAAGCCUGAUGCAGCGACGCCGCGUGGGGGAUGACGGCCUUCGGGUUGUAAACUCCUUUCGACCGAGAGGAAGCCACCUGGUUGGAAGGGUGGUGACGGUAGUGGUAGAAGAAGCACCGGCUAACUACGUG
rnacentral:rRNA from 1 species